AUUGAACGCUGGCGGCAUGCCUAAUACAUGCAAGUCGAGCGAGCGGCGGACGGGUGAGUAAUGUCUGGGAAACUGCCUGAUGGAGGGGGAUAACUACUGGAAACGGUAGCCUAUACCGCAUACCAUCAGAUGUUCCCAGAUGGGAUGAGCUAGUGGGUGGGGUAAUGGCUCACCUAGGCGACGAGCCCUAGCUGGCCUGAGAGGCUGACCAGCCACAAGGGAAAUGAGACACGGUCCAGACUCCGACGGGAGGCAGCGGUGGGGAAUAGUGCGCAAUGGGCGCAAGCCUGAUGCAGCAAUGCGGCGUGUGUGAGGAAGGCCUUCGGGUUGUAAAGCACGUUCAGCGGGGAGGCGUUACCCGCAGAGAAAGCAACGGCUAACUCCGUGCCAGCAGCCGCGGUAAUUC
rnacentral:rRNA from 1 species